rnacentral:lncRNA from 1 species
ACCUCAUAGACUGCAGUACAAGUACAACCAACUAAAACAUAAAUAGUGCAGCUAAAAGGUUGAGAUGGUGAGUACUAAGCAUUCAUUCAACACGACCUCGAUUCUCCUCUACUGAAAUGCCCAUUGGUUCUCCCUGCGGAUCUUCUCCUCCUCCUCUGGCAAGUAGUCAUUCUUGAUGUUGAAGAAAUUACGGAUCUCCUCUGGAAUUUUGCCACGAAUCAUGUCGGCAACAGUCUGGCAAGUCAGGUCCAACAACCCCUCGAUCUUGAGGUAACUUGCAGCAUGAGAGGGGGCAAAAAGAACCAUAGUGUCGUGGAAUUGUCACGGCAGAUGUCCUCGUGCUAGGACUUAGUCGUGGAGCCAUCGCAGCUAGGAAGCUUAAAGGGGUUAAACGGGACAAGGAACACGAGGGUUAUACUGGUUCGGCCCCUUACGGUGAAGGUAAAAGCCUACGUCCAGUUGAGGUGGUAUUGAUUAGGGUUUCGAUGACCAGGGAGCUUAAUUGCUAUGCCUGGCUCUCGACGAGAUCUCACUUGUCCUUAAACCGCCGCUGGGUCGCCCCUUUAUAUAGAGAGGUUGACGCCCAGCGGCUCUCAGAGUCCCGGCCGGCUCAUAAGAGUGUCCGGCUCGGACUCUCAACUAUUCUUGCCUUACACUACAAGUUCUACCAUAAUGGCGGUUAUCACUACGGGCCUUAAGCCAUCUCCGGGUCUUAGGCCCAUCAUUGACCCACCGUCUUCAAGCUUGGUACUGGGCUUCACGUGAUGACCAUUAUGAGUAACCCGGCCCCUCCUGGCGGGUGACUCUAAGGGUUAUAUCCUCAACAUUAGGCCCCAGAUUGAUUUGAACCGGUUCAUGUCAAUCUUCAAUUCUUUUGAGAGAGAAAAAUCUUCCGGCUUAUGGUCGUGUGAAAGUUAUAACCCGCCGUGACGUCAUCUUUUGGAUUCCUGGUAACCCUCCAUGACAUCAUCUUCCAUUAAGUCCAUUUUUUACUCCACCAUAUCCGGAACGGAUCUUAUCUUUUAAUUGCCGUCCUGAAAAUCGAGGCGUUUUUAUGGCGAGAUAACCACGCCGUGGCCUCCUCGUUUCUCGCGCCCACUUAUGAGCCUCAUCUUAUAAAUAGCCCGGCCCAUAAGCCUCUGGCCACUCGUCGCCUCCAUCUUCUUCCUCCUCUCGCCACUGUGCUGCCGCCCGAGCUCCGCCGCCGCCGCCGCGGGUUUCUUCGUCUUCACCAACUCAGGCCGCUGCAUCAACCUGACGUGACCAGAGAAACGCGACGAACCCCGCCGUAACUCCGCACCUGUAAGUCCCUGCUCCUCUCCAUCGUAGAUCCGCAUUAGGGUCCCACUGUUCUUCGCUGUUCUUCGCUGUUCUUCACAAGUUCCCUGUAGUUCGGCCACUAUGGUCAUGUUUUGAUCCAAGAGUAGCACAGAUCUCCUGCGGUAGUUGUUGUUCAUCCAUUUUUCCACUAGUAGAUCCCCUUUGUUUGAAAUAAGAUCCCACUCUGAAUCCAUGAACUUCUUCUGCGUCAGUUCUAGGUCUAGAAAAUUUUCUCUUUAGCCAACCGUUUAGAUCCAAAAUAAUUACUGCGAUCUGGGAAACUUGUUUUCACCACACUUAGUGAAAAAUUGCAUCUGCUGAGUUAUGGCGGCUUACAUUUCCGGCUCAAAGAAGCCAUGCGCCGUAAAUUUUCCGGCUCAUUUAUGAUAAAGCUGUAGACAAUUUGAAUUACUCACGAUACCUUCAGCGGCUUAGAUAACCCGAUGCACUUAACCAUAUGUCAUUAGGCCCCUCUCAUAAGCCGCCAUUGAGUAUUAAACUGUAGACGUCUGCCGGCUUAUAAUUAAACCGGACAUUUUCCUUUUGUCAUAGGCUUCAUCUUUCACAAUGCCUCCCAAAGCUCCCAAGGCACCCAUCACAUGCAACUGGAUGAGGUCCAACGUCACCGACGACACCUUAGCUGAUUUCGUAAAAAUGGGUUACUUGCCCAAGAAAGAGAUCAUGUCUUAUCGUGCCCCUGACCCGUCGGAGGAGAGACCUCAACCCAGAGAUGGUGAGGUGGUUAUAUUUGCUGAUCACAUGAGCCGGGGCUUCGCACCGCCUGGCUCAAAAUUCUUUAGGGAUGUUCUGAACUUCUUUGAUCUGCGGCCACAAGACAUAGGACCUAAUUCCGUGUCAAAUAUAUGCAACUUCCAAGUAUUCUGCGAAGUCUAUCUUGGAGAAGAGCCCAGCCUACUGCUUUUUAGGGAGCUGUUCUAUCUAAACCGCCAGAACGAGUGCGCCAAUGGGCCGAGCUUGGAACUUGGUGGAAUCUCCAUUCAACGACGGAGAGAUUGCCUUUUUCCUUACGCUGAGCCGCCAAGCCACCCGAAGGACUGGAACCAGACGUGGUUCUACUGCCAAGACACUUCUCCGGCUGACGAGAGCCCUCUGCCCGGCUUUCGUGCCGCACGUCUGGAGCCAAGUCACCCCCUGCCGGAUAAGCUAACUCAAGCCGAGCGUCAACCUCUGAUCCCCAUCAUCAACAGAAUUAAAGCUCUCCUGGGAAAUGGCCUCAACGGCAUUGAUCUGGUCCGGGUCUGGAUCUCCUGGCGGGUGAUCCCUUUGAGCCGCCGCCCCGGCUUAAUGUGUGCUUACACGGGCCGGAAGGAUGACCCUCUGCGGCACAGUCCCAAUGAUCUUCCUGAGGAUGUUGUGGACGACAUGACCAAGUCUCUCCUGAAUGAGAGCUUAGCCGACUGUGGGAGAACCGGCCUGCCCCCUUCUGCCAAGCUAACCCGGCUCCGGCGGUAAGCCACUGACCUGAACACCUUGGUUUUCCUUUGAAUAGUUUCCAUCUGAACUUUAAGAAAUCUUUGUUGUAUGUUUCAGGCUAAUGACAAGUUCUGGAAGGUCAAAUAUGACCAUGAGGCGGCCAAAAAAGCCAAGAAAGCUAAGAAAGCCGCCAGGAGAGCCGCCCCUCGCAAGAAGGGAAGCAGGCCUACUGCCUCAGAGCUGCUUCAGCUAAGUGAUAGCUCCGAGUCAGAGGUAACCCUUGAUUCCUCAGGCUCUUAUCCUGCUUUUCAUCUGUUUUUAACUAUCUCACUGACUUGAUUAUUCGCAGGAUGAUACCGGAGCAAGUAACCCGGUGAUUGAAGAGGUAACGACACUUUCCUCCGACUCGGAGCCCUUGCCAAGGCUGAAAGUCUGAAGAGUAACCCGGAAAGUAAGAUUUUCACAUCCUUUAGCUUAUCAAGAUCCUCAAUUUCUUUUGAAGCAACAGAUUCAUGAGAGCCGGUGGCACACCCGGACCAGCAAGGAUGCAGACCUCUCCACCGGCUUACCUGAAGCAUCAAGGAAGAGCCGGACUGAGGUUAUCUCCAACUUAUAUCCUUUUCACCCUUUGGCGGGCGUUAUUCGUCAACCGCUCAAUUCUUCUGAUUCAAAUUAUCAGGAAACUUCACCUUCCUCUGGUGAUUCUAUGCAAUCGAACCUGCCGGCUUUCAAGACCGCCCCCGGGUAACAAUGAUCAUCUUAUGUUGUACUUAUCUUUACUCAUGCUUCUGUACUAACCUUUUGUCCUUUCGGUGCCCGGGCAAAGCUCAGCAAGAGGGCGAAGAAGAAUAAACCGGUCGAAGAGCCGGUCGUGACUGAGCCGGAGGUUUCAGCUCAAGAGCCGCCAGCUGCCUCUGCUCCUGAAGCCACCGCUCCAACCGCCGAGCCAAUCACCGAGACUUCAGCUAACCCGGAGAUCUCCAGCCCAGCUCAGCCGGCCGAUGACCCGGACGUGGUAAUCACCCGGACGGAAUUUGUCGAGCCGGGGAGACCCACUGCGCUGGCUAAGUGCUCUGCCAAGGAAGAGCUGCUAGAGCGCCGCAGGGCCAAGCUGGACAUCACCAACUAUGCUAACUUGAGCAUUGGAGAGAUCAUCUCCGGCUACGUCAAUCAGGUGCACAACAGCCGGGACCUGGAGAUUGACAUGGUGAAGCAGAUACAGCAGAAGUCUGAGGUACCACUCUAGUGCUUACUGCAUAGUCAUCUUUACCAUACUAGCCCCCAAGUCUACUACUUAUGAUAGAAUAUGUUGUAGACUUAACUUCCGGCUUACUUCCAUGAACCGGUAAUUUAUAGAUAGAAACUUUCGACAUGCAUUAGCCCCCAAGUGCCAAGUGUCUUUGCUUGGAAAGUGCUUGGGACUUUAAAAUUGCAUAAUAAUUAUUCAUACUAUAACCCGGAAAUUGUACAGGCUGCUUGCAAGAAACUUGAGGCUGAUAUCUCUGAGGUGAAGAACCGCCUGAAGACUCAGGAAACUGAGACCCGGAAGGCCAACGCCAAAUUUGAAUCCAGUAUUGCUGCUCAAGAGAAGCUGAAGAAGAAGUUUGAAGCUGAAAGGAAGACUUGGGCCGAAGAGAAGGCUGCUCUGGUAAGCCGGGCCGAACAGGCGGAGAAGGCUCUGACGGAGAGAACCGCCGAACUCUCUGGCUUAAAGCGCCAUGUGUCACAGAUGGUCGCCGCAAUCUUCGGUAAGUCAUUCUGCAGACUUUCAACAAGUUUAUAUUCUCUAUGUCUCAUAAUUCCCAUCAUUGCUAGCGGCUUACCUGACGUUGCAAAACAGGUCCCAGAAGCGCCAACCUCAACAAAAAUGUAUUGACCAAGCUGAAGGCCGUGUACACUUUGGUGGAACAACUUUACACCGGGUCACAGCGCGCCUUGGCCGUUGUGGCCCUGUCCAAUGAGGUUUCGACUCACCUGGCGGACGUACUUCGCCGGCUUGCCGUUCUUCCUCAACGUUUCCAAGAGCUGCGACGGGCUUCUGCAAGAGCCGGAGCCAUAGCUGCUCUGAGCCGGGCCAAGGCUUUCCUUCCAGAGCUAGACCCGGCUGACAUCGCACUUGGAUAUCCCAGCUUGAAGGAAGACGGCACCCCCUUCGACCAAAAAGACUUUGCCGCCUGCGUGAAGAUCGUACGCCCGGUGGCCACCCAGAUUGGGAAUGACACCGACCUUACCAAGUACCAGCCGGGCUAUGACCCAGAGAAUCAGAGGAUCCCCACUCCGCGUUAUGAAGCCGUCAGCUUGGUCCCGCCGACUCGUAAGCACACCUUUGCCCCAGAAAUUGACCCGGCCGGGUUAAUUGACGAGGAGGCUCAAUUUGAAGCUUUGAGCGGCAUUGACUGGAAAUCGUCAACCUUCCAGGUCAUGGGAUCAGCCGGAGGAGCGGAGAGGGAUGAGCCGGAAGCUUCAACCCGGCAAGCAUCUUGACUCUUUAGGCAGCCCAUGAUAAUGCUUGUUAAACAAUGCUUCACCCUUUUGGACUCGGGGAGUCUUGUAAUAGAGUAGGACCAACAUUUUAACUUUGUCGUGCCAUCGUGCACGUGUUGAAUGCUUAACUCCAUUGAAGUUGCUUCCUUAUAUUUCUCCGGGUCAUAAUUGAUCAUUUAUUUUCCUUAAGCUCGAAUAGCUGUAUUAAACCAUCCUGCAUAGAAAACAAGUCGCAAGUCUCUGGGCGGCUUACCGCACUGAGAAUCAUAAACCAUAUAUAUAUAACCCGGAAUAUGAACAAAGUCACCAAAGACUGGCCCUCAAUUAUAUUUUUGAUGUAACCAUAACGGCAUGCUUACGAGCCUUCGAACACAGUUCCGGCUUAUAUAACCCGAAUGAUGAGGCGAAGAUCUCAAUUCCGGUUUACCAGCGUCAAGAAUACUUACUGCAUGUUUAUCAACAUUGUGAAUCAAAAGUAAGCCGGCAAAAGAAAAGUCGCCCUUGCACACUGUUGAUGUGACCAACAGAACUUGUUGUAAGUCAAAAGAUCCAAAACUUAGGGGCUUCCGGUUCGAAUACGACCAGAGAACCGUCCCAAAGGGGUUAAGAUAAGAUUCGAAUGCGAUCAUAUAGCCCCCAGUGGCUUUGGCGAUGCCGAUCAAGAGGGUACCGACAGCUAUGUUCUCUUUGGUUCGAAUACGACCCAUGUUUGAACAGGAAGCCCCCAAAUGACCUUAAGAGUUGUUUAACGAUGCUGAUUCGAAUACGAUCCACGUCGGUUCCCAAAGGGGGUUGAGCUAUGAUUCAAAUAUGAUCAAAGAAAACUCCCCAAUGAGCUCGGCACUUUGCCAAUCAAGUGGGUAUCGACAGCUAUGUUCUCUUUGGUUCGAAUACGACCUAUGUUUGAACAGGAAGCCCCCAGGUGACUAUAUUGUUGAACGGCAAGAUUCGAAUACGAUCAUAAGCCGGAUCCACCUCCAAGUUACCAUGUGACCUUGUAAUGGAAACAACACAUUUACCUUUGGAGGAGAAAAAAGGACAGAGGUCUUGCUUUAUUGCUUAUCAUAAUAUAUACAUGGCUAUAGAAAUAUGUACAUUAUGAGAGCCGACGGCUCAAGUGUAAUAAGGCCGAAGUUGAGCUAUGUUCCACGGACGACGGGUCUCUUCCUCCGACUUACGUGAAUCUUUAUGCUCCCGAACGUCAAUAAGGUAGUAUGACCCGUUGUGUAAGUUCUUGCUGACCACAAAGGGCCCUUCCCAAGGCGGGGAUAGCUUGUGCGCAUCUGUUUGAUCCUGGAUGAGCCGGAGCACCAGGUCACCUUCUUGAAAGACCCGGGACUUAACCCGGCGACUGUGAUAACGGCACAGGUCUUGUUGGUAAAUCGCUGAACGAGCUGUUGCCACGUCAUGCUGUUCGUCCAACAAGUCAAGAGCAUUUUGGCGCGCCUGUUCAUUAUCCGCCUCAACAUAAGCCGCCACUCGAGGCGAGUCAUGACGGAUGUCACUGGGGAGGACUGCUUCCGCUCCAUAAACCAUGAAGAAGGGCGUGUAACCCGUAGACCUGUUAGGAGUAGUAUUGAUGCUCCAUAACACGGAGGGUAGCUCCUCCACCCAACAACCCGGCGUCCGUUGCAAAGGGACCAAAAGCCGAGGCUUGAUGCCUUUCAGAAUCUCCUGAUUAGCUCUCUCCGCUUGACCAUUGGAUUGAGGGUGAGCCACUGAUGAAACAUCAAGUCGAAUAUGCUCUCGUUGACAAAACUCCUCCAUGGCGCCUUUAGACAGAUUGGUACCAUUGUCGGUUAUAAUGCUGUGUGGAAAGCCAAAGCGAAAUAUCACCGUCUUCAUGAACUGAACCGCCGUGGCUGCGUCACACUUGCUAACUGGCUCUGCUUCAACCCACUUUGUGAAUUUGUCAACUGCCACCAAGAGGUGGGUCUUCUUAUCCUUGGACCUUUUAAAAGGCCCAACCAUAUCAAGCCCCCAGACCGCAAAUGGCCAAGUGAUUGGUAUCAUCCUCAGCUCCUGAGCCGGCACAUGAGCCCGUCGUGAGAACCUUUGGCAACCAUCACAUUUACUGACCAAGUCCUUCACAUCAGCAUGAGCCAUCAGCCAAUAAAAACCAUGACGAAAAGCUUUGGCCACAAGGGAUUUUGAGCCGGCAUGAUGGCCACAAUCCUCUUCGUGAAUCUCACGCAAGAUUUCUUGACCCUCCUCAGGGGAAACACAACGCUGGAAUGCUCCCGUAACACUGCGGCGAUGCAACUCACCACUGAUAACAACCAUUGACUUAGACCGCCGGGUUAUUUGUCUGGCCAAAGUUUCAUCCUCAGGCAAAUCUCCCCGGGUCAUGUAAGCCAAGUAUGGCACUGUCCAGUCCGGGGUGAUGUGGAGAGCCGCCACCAACUGUGCCUCCGGGUCAGGGACAGCCAAAUCUUCCUCUGUAGGUACCUUAACAGAAGGGUUAUGCAAGAUGUCUAGGAAAGUAUUAGGUGGCACCGGUUUUCGCUGAGAGCCCAGCCGACUUAAUGCAUCAGCCACCUCGUUCUUCCUGCGAUCGAUGUGCUCUACUUGGUAACCCUGAAAGUGUCCAGCAAUGGCAUCAACUUCACGGUGAUAAGCCGCCAUGAGAGGGUCCUUGGAAUCCCACUUGCCUGAUACUUGUUGAGCCACUAAGUCUGAGUCGCCGAAGCACCUUACCCGGCUCAAGCUCAUCUCCUUAGCCAUCCGAAGACCAUGGAGCAAGGCCUCGUACUCAGCCGCAUUGUUAGUGCAAGGAAACAUCAACUGUAGCACAUAAUGAAACUUGUCACCUUUAGGGGAAGCCAAUACAACUCCAGCCCCUGAGCCCUCCAAUUGCCUGGACCCAUCGAAGUGAAUAGUCCAAUAUGUGUUAUCCGGCCUUUCUUCGGGCACUUGUAGCUCUGUCCAAUCAUUGAUGAAAUCCACCAAAGCUUGAGAUUUAACAACAGUACGUGGUACAUAUUUCAGACCAUGAGGCCCAAGCUCUAUAGCCCACUUAGCCACUCUCCCUGUGGCUUCUCUGUUUUGGAUGAUAUCUCCAAGGGGAGCAGAACUAACCACCGUAAUGGGGUGACCCUGAAAAUAGUGCUUAAGCUUCCGGCUUGCCAUGAACACACCAUAAACAAGCUUCUGCCAAUGCGGAUACCGCUGUUUGGACUCGAUGAGCACCUCACUGACGUAAUAAACCGGCCGCUAAACCGGAUAUUCCUUACCCUCUUCCUUGCGCUCCACCACCACAGCCACACUGACGGCUCGUGUGUUAGCAGCUACAUACAGUAAUAAGGGCUCUUUGUCAACCGGAGAAGCAAGGACUGGGGGCUCCGCCAGCUGUCUCUUCAAAUCCUCAAAAGCAGUAUUAGCAGCAUCAUUCCAGACAAAGUCAUCAGUUUUCUUCAUCAACUGGUAUAGUGGCAUGGCCUUCUCACCCAAAUGGCUUAUAAACCGGCUUAAAGCAGCGAUACGACCCGCCAGGCGCUCGACGUCGUUUAUACACGCCGGCUUAGCCAGAGAGGUGAUUGCCUUAAUCUUCUCCGGGUUAGCUUCAAUGCUUCUAUUAGAAACCAAGAAACCCAAGAGCUUGCCCGCAGGAACACCAAAAACACACUUGGUCGGGUUAUGCAUCAUCUUGUAGACCCGGAGAUUAUCAAAGGUUUCCCUCAGAUCAUCUAUAAAGGUUUCCUUCUCCCUGGACUUAACCACAAUAUCAUCCACAUAGGCAUGAACAUUGCGCCCAAUCUGGUUAUGAAGACAGUUCUGCACGCAACGCUGAUAAGUCGCCUGUGCACUCUUGAGUCCAAAAGGCAUAGACACAUAACAGAAGGCUCCAAAGAGAGUGAUGAACGCCAUCUUCUCCUGGUCCUUAACUGCCAUGUUAAUCUGAUGGUAUCCAGAAUAUGCAUCCAAGAAACUUAAACGCUCACAACCCGCCGUAGCAUCAAUGAUUUGAUCAAUACGGGGAAGGGCAAAAGGAUCAGCCGGACAUGCCUUGUUUAAGUCCGUGUAGUCCACACACAUCUGCCAGGUGCUAUUCUUCUUGAGCAUGAGCACCGAGUUAGUUAACCACUCUGGGUGAAAGACUUCAACAAUAAACCCGGCCGCCAAGAGCCGGGCCACCUCCUCACCAAUGGCUUUCCGCCUCUCUUCAUUAAACCAUCGAAGGAAUUGCCUGACCGGCUUAAAUUUCGGAUCAACAUUGAGAGUGUGCUCAGCGAGUUCUCUAGGUACACCUGGCAUGUCAGAAGGUUUCCAUGCAAAUAUGUCCCUGUUCUCACGGAUGAACUCGAUGAGCACGCUUUCCUAUUUCGGAUCCAAAUUGGCACUGAUACUGAACUACUGAGACGAGUCACCUGGAACGAAAUCAACAAGUUUAGUCUCAUCAGCUGACUUAAAUUUCAUUGCCGGCUCAUGUUCCGUGGUCGGCUUUUUCAGAGAUGUCAUAUCUGUUGGGUCAACAUUAUCCUUGUAAAACUUCAGCUCCUCCGUUGCACAAACAGAUUCUGCAUAAGCCGCGUCACCUUCCUCACACUCCAAGGCUACCUUUCGGCUACCAUGAACCGUAAUGGUCCCAUUGUGACCCGGAAUCUUGAGCUGUAGGUAUACGUAACACGGCCGUGCCAUGAACUUGGCGUAAGCCGGCUGUCCAAAUAUGGCAUGAUACGGACUUCUUAUCUUGACCACCUCAAAGUUCAACUUUUCCACCCUGUAAUUGUACUCAUCUCCAAAGGCCACUUCCAUUCGAUGUUACCAACUGGAUAAGCCGACUUACCAGGCACCACACCAUGGAAAACAGUAUUGGACUGGCUGAGGUUCUUAUCAAUCAACCCCAUACGAUGGAAGGUCUCAUAAUAGAGGAUGUUGAUGCUGCUGCCUCCGUCCAUGAGCACCUUAGUGAACUUAUAUCCUCCCACCUGAGGAGCCACCACCAGGGCCAAGUGACCCAGGUUGUCAACCCGGGGAGGGUGAUCCUCCCUAUUCCACACAAUAGGCUGCUCAGACCAUCUUAAAUAACGUGGAACCGCCGGCUCAACAGCAUUCACAUCCCUCUUUUGAAGCUUCUGAUCUCGCUUACACAGACUGGUGGUAAAUACGUGAUACUGUCCACCGUUAAGCUGCUUUGGAUUGGUCUGAUAACCCCCCUGCUGCUGUUGAUGACCCUGGCCAGACUGCUGAUUAAAGCCCCCUGGACCGUUCUGAGGAUUAGGAUUUGAGCCGCCGCCCGGGCCAUGAAAACCGCCAGCGCCUGAGCCGCCGCCCGGGCCAUUGUUGCCAUUAAAGGCAUUGGAAUUCUUAAAGGCCUUCAUGAUUGCGCAAUCCUUCCAUAGAUGAGUAGCUGGCUUCUCCCUAGAGCCAUGCCUCGGACAAGGCUCGUUUAACAACUGCUCGAGCGUCGGGCCUGACCCGCUAGCUCGGGGAGGUGGCCUCCCUUUACGUCGCUGGUUGUUACCCUGUGAAUUGGUAUUGGCCACAAACUCCAUACUGCCAUCAGCCUUACGCUUGUUACCUCCUUGGUUUGCCGGGUUAUGCUAAGGACCCUUGCCAUUGCCGUUCUUCCUUCCCUUCCCUGUCCUUUCAUCAUCUAAAGCGGGGUCCUUGGUACUAUCAGAAUCGGCGUAUUUGACGAGAGCCACCAUCAGUGUACCCAUAUCAUUGCAGUCGCGUUUGAGCCGCCCGAGUUUCAUCUUCAGGGGCAGGAAGCGACAAUUCUGCUCCAACAUUAAGACUGCAGAGCCGGCAUCCAUCUUAUCAGAUGAAUCUAUUAUCUCUUUGACCCGGCGAACCCAAUGCGUCGUAGACUCACCCUCCUGCUGUUUACAGUUAGUCAAAUCCACAAUUGACAUAGACUGCCUACAGGUAUCUUUGAAGUUUUGGAUGAACCGGGCUUUCAGCUCAGCCCAAGACCCGAUGGAAUUUGGUGGCAGCCCUUUCAACCAAGUGCGGGUAGUCCCAUCUAACAUCAUGGUGAAGUACUUGGCCAUCGCCGCUUCACUGACCUCCAACAAUUCCAUGGCCAUCUCGUAACUCUCGAUCUAGGAUCCGGGUUGUAAAUCAGCCGUGUAAUUAGGCACCUUCCUAGGCCCUUUGAAGUCCUUGGGUAGACGUUCAUUGCGGAGAGCUGGCACUAAACAAGGGACACCUCCAGUCCUCACAGGGAUACCCACGUCGACGGAAGUCGUCGGAUAAGCCGGGGGUGUCUGGUAAGCCGUCACCUGAGGCACUUGUUCCGCCUCUUGUCGUGCUCUGUCUUGGUCUGUUGCGUGAAAGGCUCCGUUAUGAGCCGGGCCAUGGCCAGGGGGCAAGUCAUGGCGUCGGACAUUACUUGAGCCGGUCGCUGAAACCAUGUGUCUGCUAUAACUCGGGCUUCGGCCUGGACGAGGGGUUGAAUGGAUCCUGUCCCGGCUGUAAGAGUAUGCCUCUUGCUGCGCCAGAGCUGUCUGAAGGAGCUCCCUGACCCGGCGGGUUUCAACCGCCGUUGGAGAAUCGCCAUCAAUUGGGAGAGCCGCCAGCCGUGCCGCCGCGGCGACCAUGUUUUCCAGCGGGUUGGCAUAAUGACCCGGUGGUAUUGGCACGUACUGAGGCGGGGCAGGGUUCACCCGGGGAGGCCCCAUCACUUGGGGUUGAAUUGGUGUCCCAGCUCUGGGUACUAUGAUCUCCGGCGGGUUACUAGACCCUGCACCUGGCGUGUUGAAGAGGUUUCGAGGAUCGUAGACCGGAGGGAGUCAAGACUGGGCCUUUUGAUGCCUCCUUCUCAUGACCUCAUUGGACGCGUUCUGAUCCAUCGUGAGCCGGAAGGACUGCGCCUGAAUCAACUGAGUCUGGGCGUCGAGAGCCGCCCUCUCCGCAGCCAUCCUGAUCCCUUCCGCCGCCACAUCCUCCUUGGCUUUCACUAGAUCUAACUUUAACUGCUCCACCUCCGCGUCAUGCUGAGCUUGAUCCGCCGGGUCAACCGUGGCGGUCAACAGGGCCGUCAUCUUGUCCGUGAGAUCCAUCAGCACCUGAGCCGGCGAGGGUACCGGAUUUCCUGACCCAGCGGCAGGGUUCUGAACAGGCUGUGCACCGUCCAUGAAGAUUCCAACCCGGCUCGGCGGCUCAAAAGGGUCCGGAAUACUGUCACCAUCGGAACAACCCCUGAGCCUGCCAUCUUGAAGUUGAUACAAUGAGUUUGACUCAUCUGUAGACGACUCGCCGUCAGAGCCGGCGGUCGUCUCAUCACCAGAUGCAGACCCUGCAGAGAGUCCUUCAUGAACACAUCCCACAAAAGCAUGCUUCAAGGCAGGUAGAGCCCGGGCGGGUCGUGCACGCUGAGCCGUCUCGAUGAGACCGGCGCAGAGAUCCGGCUCAGGGCCCGGCUCACCAAUCUUGCCAAUGAAGACAUGAAUUCCGCCGAAGGGGACCCGGUACCCAUACUCAAUUGAGCCGGCGUCGGGGCCCCAGUUUGCAUCGUCAAUGUAGAGCUUGCCGCAACGACUCUUGGUCAUCCGGCCCACAACGUAUCCCUUGAGCCCUUCGAAGCUGCCCUUCAAGAACUCAAAUCCACCGUGCGCUGGCCCCACGGUGGGCGCCAACUGUCGUGGAAUUGUCACGACAGAUGUCCUCGUGCUAGGACUUAGUCGUCGAGCCAUCGCAGCUAGGAAGCUUAAAGGGUUAAACGGGACAAGGAACACGAGGGUUAUACUGGUUCGGCCCCUUACGGUGAAGGUAAAAGCCUACGUCCAGUUGAGGUGGUAUUGAUUAGGGUUUCGAUGACCAGGGAGCUUAAUUGCUAUGCCUGGCUCUCGACGAGAUCUCACUUGUCCUUAAACCGCCGCCAGGUCGCCCCUUUAUAUAGAGAGGUUGACGCCCAGCGGCUCUCUGAGUCCCGGCCGGCUCAUAAGAGUGUCCGGCUCGGACUCUCAACUAUUCUUGCCUUACACUACAAGUUCUACCAUAAUGGCGGUUAUCACAACGGGCCUUAAGCCAUCUCCGGGUCUUAGGCCCAUCAUUGACCCACCGUCUUCAAGCUUGGUACUGGGCUUCGCGUGAUGACCAUUAUGAGUAACCCGGCCCCUCCUGCGGGUGACUCUAAGGGUUAUAUCCUCAACACAAAGGGUGUCAGAGAGAAGCAUUAGUCUAUAAUGGAUAUAGAACUGUGACGCCCGGAUAAUUAAGCUACAGUAAUUCUCUGCUAAUGGUGUCACGUCACCACGGUUACUCUUGCUAAUCUCGCGUUAGUUCGAAACCGAUUCAAAUUCAAAUUCAAAAUCAAAAUCAAAUCAAACGGUAAAAGUUUUCAAACUUUAAAACUAAAAUGUUUGGGUUGUGCCAGAUAAUGCAUAGGUGAUUAUGGUGGUGAAACCAAACUUUUAUGAAAUGCUUAACUGCACUAAAAUAAUUUAAAUAGUAGCAAACCUAAUUAUUUAAAUGCCUUUACUAAUUAAUAAAGUAUCAAACUAAAUUAUUUGGGGACUAGACUUUUUAUGACAGUGGACUAAACUAAAAUACUAAAUUAGAUGCCAAGUAUAUAUUUUACAAAAAACUAAAACAAUAGGAAACAAAGAUAAAAUAGAAUAAAAUAAAGAAAAUAAAAGAAAACAAGAAAUAAUAAUAAAAGAAAGGCCGAAACCCCCCUCUCCCUGGGCCUCUCGGCCCAACCGGCAGCCAGCCGGCCCACCCCGUUGCCCCUGGCCUAUAUGGCCUAUUUCCCCACACCCGACCGAAACCCUAACUGCUACCCCCACUCCCCUCGAUCCCCCACUCCCCUCGCUCCCCUCCCCCGUCUGGAUCGGGGCAACCGCACCCCGACCCCGUCAACGCCGAUGCCGCGCGCCACCUCGCCGGUGCCCAGGUGACCACUGCCGUCGCCGGACCUUCCGUGCCUCUCCCUUGCGGGAUCGGCCCGCUCGUCGCGCCGCCCGCGUCGCCCAUCGCCCCUGGACAACGCCGCCACCACCACGACGCCGUCGACCGCCGGAGCACCACCAGCCACAUCGCCGGAGCUGUCCCGCCGUCCUCUCCGUCGCCGGUGCCGCCUCGCCGGACCUCCCCGACUCCUCCUCGAGCCCGCUUUGCUCAACUACAGGGCUCGGUGAGCCCCGUCCUCCCCUCCUCCUCUUUCCUCGUUUGGUCACCGUGGCUAGUACCGCCGCCCACGCGCCGGCCUUGCUGGCCUCGCCUACUUUCGCCACCCACGCCGCUCGCCCGCUCUCGCCGCCCGCGUUCUGCCUCGGCUCCUCGUCGCCCGCUAGCGUCCGGUCGCGCUUGCCCCCUGCUCGCCAUACCCUUGCCCCGCGAGCGCCCGUUGACGCUGGCGCAUGCCCGUCGCUUGCCCCACCUUCCCCUGCACGCGCCCGCCUCGCCGCAUAGCCGCGCCGCGGCCUAGCCGAGUGCCAGCGCCCCGCGCAUGACCGCGCCCCUGCUCCCCUUGUCCCGCUCCGCCGCGGGCUCCCGCUGCCGCACGCCGCCCGGUUAGCGCUACUGUGCCGCUCCCCACGCCAGGCCCGCGCCUUCCCUGGCCGACGCCGUGGCCAUCGGCCUCCCCCUGCUCCGGCGCCGCGCCGGAUUUGCCCGCCCCUGGGCGUUAGCCCAUUCGGGCUGGCGCCCAUCGCCUGCACGCCCGAUCCGCUAGGCCUAUGGGCCUUUGACAUGUGGGGCCCAUGCCCAGAACGUUUUAAAAAAAUGAAUGAAAAAUAAUAAUAAAUAAAUAAAAUAUCAAUCAAUUAAUUAAUUAAUUAACUUAAUUAAUUCUGUUUAAAUUAACUAAUUAAGAUUAAUUAACCUAAUAACUAGUUAACCUAAUUAACUACUGUUAAUUAGCUAAGCAGUCCCUAACAGGUGGGACCCACCUGUCAGGUUGACCAGGUCAACGGUCAACGUUGACUGCUGACGUCAUGCUGACAUCAUGCUGACGUCAUAAUUAUCUUUUUCUAAUUAAAUUAAUUGUGUUAAUUCUAGAAAAGGAUAAAAUCCUUUUUAAAUUAAUAUAAAAUGAACCGUAGCUCGGAUGGAAAAACUUUGUACAUGAAAGUUGCUCAGAACGACGAGCCGAAUCCGGAUACGCAGCCCGUUUGUCUGCCACACAUCCCUAGCAUAGCAAACACGCAACUUUCCCCCUCCAGUUCACCUGUCCGAAAACGCGAAACACCGGGGAUACUUUCCCGGAUGUUUCCCCCCUUCGCCGGUAUCGCCUCCUACCGCGUUAGGGCACGCCUAGCACUGUUUGUUGUCUUGUCAUGCAUCUGUUUGCAUUGUAUUCAUUGUUUCUUCCCCCCUUCUCUCUCCGUUAUACUACGAGACUGACGCCGCUGCUGGUGCCCCAAUCGACUACGUUGUUGACGACCCCUACUUGCCAGAGCAACCAGGCAAGCCCCCCCCCUUGAUCACCAGAUAUCGCCUAUUCCUUCUCUCUACUGCUUGCAUUAGAGUAGUGUAGCAUGUUACUGCUUUCGGUUAAUCCUAUUCUGUUGCAUAGCUUGUCAUUGUUGCUACAAUUGUCGAUACCUUUACCUGCUAUCCUAAUGCUUAGUAUAGGAUGCUACUGUUCCAUCAGUGGCCCUACACUCUUGUCCGUCUACCAUGCUAUACUACUGGGCCGUGAUCACUUGGGGAGGUGAUCACGGGCAUAUACUAUAUACUUUAUACUGUUACAUUACUUAUGAUACUGUUCGGAGAUGGGGGCUGAAGGGGCAGGUGGCUCCAUCCCGGUAGAGGUGGGCCUGGGUUCCCGACGGCCCUCGGCUGAUACUUUGUGUCGGAGCGACUGGGCGGGUUGAGAGCACCUAGGAGAGAGGUGGGCCUGGCCCUGGUCGGCGUCCGCGGUUACUUCAAAAUAACACGCUUAACGAGUUCUUGGUAUUUGAUCUGAGUCUGGCCAUUUGGUCUAUACGCACUAACCAACUACGCGGGAACAGUUAUGGGCACUCGGCGUCGUGGUAUCAGCCGAAGCCUUUGUGACGUCAGCGACUGAGCGGCGCGCGCCGGAUUGGACUGGAACGCCUGCUAGGCUAGGUCUGCUUCCGGCCGCAUUUGCAACGUGCAGGUGUGCAAUGGGCGAUGGGCCCAGACUCCUGCGCCAUAGGAUUUAGACCGGCGUGCUGACCUCUCUGUUGUGCCUAGGUGGGACUGCGACGUGUUGAUCUUCCGCGGCCGGGCAUGACCCAGAAAAGUGUGUCCGGCCAAAUGGGAUCGAGCGUGUUGGGUUAUGUGGUGCACCCCUGCAGGGAAGUUUAUCUAUUCGAAUAGCCGUAAUCUUCGGUAACAGGACGACUUGGAGUUGUACCUUGACCUUAUGACAACUAGAACCGGAUACUUAAUAAAACACACCCUUCCAAGUGCCAGAUACAACCCGGUGAUCGCUCUCUAAUGGGCCGACGAGGAGGGGAUCCCUGGGUAGGAUUAUGCUAUGCGAUGCUACUUGGUGAACUUACCAUCUACUGUCUCCUACAUGCUGCAAGAUGGUGGUGGCCAGAAGCGUAGUCUUCGACAGGAUUAGCUAUCCCCCUUUUAUUCUGGCAUUCUACAGUUCAGUCCACCGAUAUGGCCCUUUACACAUAUACUCAUGCAUACGUAGUGUAGAUCCUUGCUUGCGAGUACUUUGGAUGAGUACUCACGGUUGCUUUUCUCCCUCUUUUCCCCCUUUCCAUUCUACCUGGUUGUCGCAACCAGAUGCUGGAGCCCAGGAGCCAGACGCCACCGUCGACGACGACUCUUACUACACCGGAGGUGCCUACUACUACGUGCAGGCCGGUGACGACGACCAGGAGUAGUUUAGGAGGAUCCCAGGCAGGAGGCCUGCGCCUCUUUCGAUCUGUAUCCCAGUUUGUGCUAGCCUUCUUAAGGCAAACUUGUUUAACUUAUGUCUGUACUCAGAUAUUGUUGCUUUCGCUGACUUGUCUAUGAUUGAGCAAUUGUAUUCGAGCCCUCGAGGCCCCUGGCUUGUAUUAUUAUGCUUGUAUGACUUAUUUUAUUUUUAGAGUUGUGUUGUGAUAUCUUCCCGUGAGUCCCUGAUCUUGAUCGUACAAGUUUGCGUGUAUGAUUAGUGUACGAUUGAAUCGGGGGCGUCACAAGUUGGUAUCAGAGCCGACUGCCUGUAGGAAUCCCCCUUUCCAACUCCUUGGCCGAAGUCGAGUCUAGUCAUUGAAAAAGUUUUUACUAACUUGGUUGUGCGGCUUACGGGCCCACGUCGCCAUUGGGUGGUAUUAGGAUCUUUUAUUCCUCGAUCUAUACUCUGGGACUCUGAUCUCUCUUAUAUUCGGGUUAAAUGACUUUACUAACACUGACUCUAGGUUCUCGUAACUACUUCCACCCGGAGAGCCCCUUACUCCAGAUGAUUACUUGGUCCACCGAAGGAUUUCGAAGAUACUCUCUGAUGUUCUCUCGAGACUUUGAGCCUGUUGCUUUUGCAAUUCCCUACCACCGAAACAUCCCUAUGGAUAAAUACUUACACCUAUCGUUUUUACUUUUAUUCCCAGUUGAUCUUGUUAUUCCAAGAUACCCCGAAAUUCUCUCUAAUGUUCCGAGAAUACUUUGUGCCUACUGCCUUGCAGUUCUUGCCACAUGAAUAUCCCUACGGAUAAUUUCUCACACUCACCGACUAUCCACUCAUCCCAAGUUGAUUCAUGUAUGUCACCAAUCUUCGAAAUACCAUUCAAUCUUCCGAAAAUCCUCAGGAGCCUAUUGCUCUUGAAAUUCUUACUUGCUUGCAUUAUGGUUAACCCCAUAAGUCUAGUAAUCUUAUUGGCGUCCUUUGUCAUUAUCAUUUUGAGUCCGUUGAUUCAAUAACUUGCGAAUGUUCACCAUCAUCAGUUGAAUCCUAGGAUUAUCCUUCCGGCUCAGACGUCAUUUGGAUAUGAGCUGGUUCUUGACCAAUCAAUGCCUUGAUCGGUUGUGCUUCUAAGUCUAUUGAACUUAUUCAUUUUCGAUCAGAACGAUUGCUUCUGAUCCCUUGAUCUGGAAAUCUUAAUUCCUUUGCCUUUGAGCUUUGAUGUAGUUAGUUGUUUCUAUAAUUAAAUACCUUUGCAUUGUUUCUUCCAUUGGUGGUGUGCAAAUGCUCACAUCAACUCCGUUCUGGACCGUCAGAUCCUUUGUUGAAUUUUCAUCCGACAGUGUCCUUUGUACACAAAAACCUCGAGAAGUUCUUUCCCUGAUACAUAAUGUCAUUGCUAAAUCCUAUUCUUUGAUAUGGCCAACGAUGCUCUGCUUUUGAGCUUGAGUUAUUUACUUCUGAACUUUGUAGUAUAUGUUUCUAAGAUGCCCUGAUGGGUUGAGCCUAUACCUUCCCUAAAACCGUAUGCACCCGAAAGUUUACACAAGUCAUACCAUUCUGGUGUUUUACCAGAUAAUUUUCUGCUCUACAACUUCUUCGAAGACGAGAAGUAAAUGAUAGGUUAGGCAUUGAAGAAGUGGGAGUCGACCUUGAACUUUGUGUUCAUGCCCAUGGACCCGAUGUGGAACUUAUCAUGAAAGCUUCUUGUAAUAAUAAUUUUCCCUUGUUUUAAAAUCAUCUUGUAUUUUGUUUUGGUCCUUUGCAAUCGUGGUUUUGACCAUGAUUGUUCUUCUUUGAUCCCAUUUCGCGGACAAGUUUAAGCACUUGUCUUCUACGGAGCAAUACCCCAGUCCAACCUCUACUUUGAUCUGUCGUCGAGUAUUACCCCCUGGUAUCUCGAGAUUAUCAGGAGCAACAUAACUUCUUAUGAGUUCUUCAUCAACUAAUAUUCUUGCCAAUUCCAUUUUUCCAACGGGUUCCGAGUUGUUAGAACCCCUGAAGGACACCGACAACUGAAUUGAGUCCGCACUACGAUUCAACAACUCUUGGUAACCUUCAUUACUUACGAGUUUGAACUUGAUCAUGUCAUUCCUAGCCUACUCGGCUACAUCAUUAUCGUGCUGAUUUUAACUAUGCUACCUGGUCCUUAAUCACGGAGCACAACCUUCGACGGUGAGCUAAUCUUACGUCGAUCUUCCUCGUCAUAUCAUUCCUCCUUGAACAGCAAACUUGAUUUCGAGUUUGUGUCGUACCCAGGGUUCCAAUAACCUUUCGCUUCAUCAUUCCUUUGACUUGAUGUCAUCGCCGAUCGAUUACAUCUUCAUGGAAUCUCUCGACAAAUGUGUCGUGAUCAUCAUGAGCAUUCUGAGUCCUUCCAGAAUAUCAAUUGAAUUCAUGAUGAGAAAGACCAUCCUUUCCCUCGAUGAUUUGUGUUAUCAUCGGCCACUUUACUGCCUUCCCUCCAACACAAACUUGUUCGUGUUUCGUGUUAUACCUUAGGAUCCUUGCUAUCCAGCAUUUGUUCUUUACCUUGGAGUAUUACCAUCUUUUAUGUCAACAAUGUCGUGAGAAUUUCACCACCUCUUAAGAAUUCUUGAUAUAGUAAUACUUCUCGCCAUCUCCAUUCAUAUUUUGGUCCCCGUGUUGUUUCUAACCGGGAUACCAGCCAUUUAACUAUGAUGUGUGAAGUCAAAACUUCUAGCAACCCUAUUGCUUGUAAGUUAAUGAACGUUAGUUACAUUCUUUGUGUAUUGGAUAUCGUAUCACCCUUCUAACAUUGAUCUUGCUACCAAAGCCCAUAUUUCGGGUGCACCUUUCAAUCAAUGUUUGAUUGUGUAUGUUUUCCUCGAGCAUACAUCAUUAUAUCAUUUGAUAUGACGAAUGUUAUCUCCUUGUUCACAUAAUUGUGGAAAUCAAUCUUUUGGAAAUCUCGAUGAAUUGUCCUUAGCCCAUGAGCCACCUCCUUGUCCUCUCCUUGGGUUAAUGAUGAACUCUUGUUAACGGAAAUCACUUCAUAGUUCAUUUCCUGAGAAUCUUACAGUGUCAUCCCGUCAAUUUGUCGGGCACCUUUUCUUCUCAGGCAUCCUGAGUCUGAGGUUUCCUAACACCGAUCAGAUCUGAAUCUCGGUCAGCUAUGAUGGUUGGAGCAUAUUUUCAAGAGUUAUAACAUUGGUCUUUAUAUGACCCGGUAAGGUGAUGUCAUGCCUAGCACACUUGACCGGAGGACCUAUUGUUAUAGUUCUUCCUUUCAGCAAGGUUAUCCAUUCUUCCAUGAGGAAAUUGUAAAACUUAUUCUACAAGUUGUUCCUGAUGGAUCCUUUGUAUCCAAAGUCCGACCUUUGCUUGAAGACCAUGCCAAUGCUAUCUCGAAACAUGUCUGUGGUACUCCGAUUUUUUUUACAAGAACAUUUGAAGCCCAAUGCUAAAUGAUUCUUGCUCAAUUAUCCAAACACCGUUGUAUGGGUAGUGUCAUGAAAUUUCUCUCCCCUACCUAAAGAGUUUUCUACAUUAUAUCCUGUCAUGGAUAUCAUGCUCAUCUUGUCCUUGGGAAGGAUAUACCCUUGAAAUAUGUGUUUAAACACAUUUUCCUUUCCAUUGUUUUAUUUAAUCUGAUGAUCACCCUUUUCCUUUCUGUUGAGGAUAUAACCAUUAGAGUCACCCGCCCAGGAGGGGCCGGGUUACGUCAUAAUGAUCAUCACGUGAAGCCCAGUACCAAGCUUGAGGAUGGCGGAUCAAUAAUGGGCUUAAGACCCGGAGGCGGCUUAAGGCCCGUAGUGAUAACCCGCCGCUAUGGCAAGACUUGUGAUGUAAGGCAAGAGUAGUUAAGAGUCCGAGCCGGAUACUAUUAUGAGCCGGCCGGGACUCUGAGAGCCGCGGGGCGUCAACCUCUCUAUAUAAAGGGAUGACCUGGCGGCAGUUCAGGACGAGAGAUAACAGAUCGAGAGCCAGGCAUAGCAAUUAGCUCCCUGGUCAUCGAAACCCUAAGUAAUACCACCUCAACUGGACGUAGGCUUUUACCUUCACCGUAAGGGGCCGAACCAGUAUAAUCCUCAUGUUCCUUGUCCCGCUUAACCCCUUUAAGCUUCCUAGCUGUGAUGGCUCCACGACUAAGUCCUUGCACGAGGACAUCUGCCGUGACAAUUCCACAACAGUUGGCGCCCACCGUGGGGCCAGCGCACGGUGGAUUUGAGUUCUUGAAGGGCAGCUUCCAAGGGCUCAAGGGAUACACUGUGGGCCAGAUGACCAAGAGUCAUCGCGGCAAGCUCUACAUCGACGAUGCAAACUGGGGCCCCGAUGCCGGCUCAAUCGAGUACGGGUACCGGGUCCCCUUCGGCGGAAUCCAUGUCUUUAUUGGCAAGAUUGGUGAGCCGGGCCUUGAGCCGGACCUCUGCACCGAUCUCAUCAAGACGGCUCAGCGUGCACGGCCCGCCCGGACUCUGCCUGCCUUGAAGCAUGCUUUCGUAGGAUGCGUCCAUGGAGAACUCUCUGAAAGAUCUGGAUCUGGCGAGGAGACGGCCGCUCGCUCUGAUGGCGAGUCAUCCACAGAGGAGACCGACUCGUUAUACCAACUUCAAGAUGACAGGCUCAGGGGUUGUUCCGAUGGCGACAGUAUUCCGGACCCCUUUGAGCCGCCGAGCCGGGUUGGAAUCUUUAUGGCUGGCGCAUAACCUGUUCAAAACCCCGCCGCUGGGGCAGGAAGCCCUGCGCCCUCGCCGGCUCAGGUGCUGAUGGAUCUCAUGGACAAGAUGACGGCCCUGUUAACCGCUACGGUCGCCCCAGCGGAUCAAGCUCGGCAUGACGCGGAGAUGGCACAGUUGAAGUUGGAUCUAGCAAAGGCCAAGGAGGAUCUGGCGGCGGAAGAGAUCAGGAUGGCUGCAGAGAGGGCGGCUCUCGACGCCCAGACUCAGCUGAUUCAGGCGCAGUCUUUCUGGCUCACGAUGGAUCAGAACGCGUCCAAUGAGGUCAUCCGAAGGAGGCAUCAAAAGGCCCAAUCUCGACUCCCUCCGGUUUACGAUCCUGAAAACCUCUUCAACACGCCUGGUGCAGGGCCUAGUAACCCGCCAGAGAUCACGGCGCCCCAGGCUGGAACGCCAGUUCAGCCCCAAGUGAUGGGGCCUCCCCGGGUGAACGCCGCCCCGCCUCAGUACGUGCCAAUACCACCGGGUCAUUAUGCCAACCCGUUGGAAAACAUGGUCGCCGCGGCGGCGCGACUGGCGGCUCUCCCAAUCGAGGGCGACUCUCCGACGGCGGUUGAAACCCGCCGGGUCAGAGAACUUCUUCAGAUGGCUCUGGCGCAACAGGAGGCAUAUUCAUAUAGCCGGGACAGGAUUCAUUCAACCCCUCGUCCAGGCCGGAGCCCGAGUUAUAGCAGACACAUGGUCGCAGCAACCGGCUCUAGCAAUGUCCGACGCCGUGACUUGCCUCCAGGCCACGGCCCGGUUCAUAAUGGAGCUUUUAACGCGGUAGACCAAGACAGAGCACGACAAGAGGCGGAGCAGGCGGCUCAGUUGACGGCUUACCAACCACUCCCGGCUUAUCGGUCGGCUUCCAUCGACGCGGGUAUACCUACGAGGACUGGAGGUUCCUUGUGUGGUGCCGGCUCUCCGUAAUGGACGUCUGCCCAAGGAUUUCAAAGGGCCGAGGAAGGUACCUAAUUACACGGCUGAUUUGCAACCCGGAGCAUGGAUCGAGAGUUACGAGAUGGCUAUGGAGUUGCUGGAGGUCAGUGAAGCGGCAAUGGCCAAGUACUUCACCAUGAUGUUAGAUGGGACUGCCCGCACUUGGUUGAAAGGGCUGCCACCGAACUCUAUCGGGUCUUGGGCUGAGCUAAAAGCCCGGUUCAUCCAAAACUUCAAAGAUACAUUUAGGCAAUCUAUGUCAAUUGUGGAUUUGACUAACUGCAAGCAGCGGGAGGGUGAGUCUACAACCCAUUGGGUUCGCCAGGUCAAAGAGAUAAUACAUUCAUCUGAUAAGAUGGAUGCCGGCUCUGCAGUCUUAAUGUUAGAGCGGAAUUGUCGCUUUGCGCCCCUGAAGAUGAAGCUCGGGCGGCUCAAGCGUGAUUGCAAUGAUAUGGGUACGCUGAUGGCGGCUCUGGUCAAGUACGCCGACUCUGAUAGUACCAAGGAUCCCGCGUCGGACGAUGAAAGGACAGGGAAGGGAAAACGGAACAGCAAUGGCAAGGGCGCCCAGCAUAACCCGGCAAACCAAGGAGGCAACAAGCGGAAGGCUGAUGGCAGUAUGGAGUUUGUGGCCAACGCCAGUUCACAGGGUAACAACCACCGGCGCAAGGGGAGACCAUCUCCCCGAGCCGGCGGGUCAGGCCCGACGCUUGAACAGUUGUUGAAUGAGCCUUGCCCAAGGCAUGGCUCUAGGGAAAAGCCGGCCACUCAUCUAUGGAAGGACUGCGCAAUCAUGAAGGCCUUUAAAAAUUCCAAUGCUUUCAAUGGCAACAGUGGCCCGGGCGGCGGCUCAGGCGCUGGCGGUUUUCAUGGCCCGGGCGGCGGUUCAAAUUCCAAUUCUCAGAAUGUUCAAGGGGGCUUUAAUCAGCAGUCCGGCCAGGGUCAUCAGCAGCAGCAGGGGGGAUACCAGACCAAUCCAAAGCAGCUCAAUGGUGGACAGUAUCAUGUGUUUACCACCAGUCUGUGCAAGCGAGUUCAGAAGCUUCAUAAAAGGGCUGUAAAUGCUGUUGAGCCGGCGGUUCCACGCUAUUUAAGAUGGCCUGAGCAGCCCAUUGUGUGGAGUAGGGAAGAUCACCCUCCCUGGGUUGAUAAUCCGGGUCACCUGGCCCUGGUGGUGGCUCCUCAGGUGGGGGGAUAUAAAUUCACUAAAGUGCUCAUGGACGGAGGCAGCAGCAUCAACAUCCUCUAUUAUGAGACCUUCCGUCGUAUGGGAUUGAUUGAUAAGAACCUCAGCCAGUCCAAUACUAUUUUCCAUGGGGUGGUGCCUGGUAAGUCGGCAUAUCCAGUUGGUAAGAUCAAGCUGGAAGUGGCCUUUGGAGAUGAGUACAACUACAGGGCAGAAAAAAUAACCUUUGAGGUGGUUAAGAUAAGAAGUCUGUAUCAUGCUUUAUUUGGGCGGCCGGCUUACGCCAAGUUCAUGGCACGGCCGUGUUACGUGUACUUGCAGCUCAAGAUGCUGGGUCACAAUGGGACCAUUACGGUUCAUGGCAGCCGAAAGAUAGCCUUGGAAUGUGAGGAAGGUGACACGGCUUACGCGGAAUCUGUUUGUGCCACAGAGGAGUUGAAGUUUUACAAGGACAAUGUUGACCCGGCAGACAUGACGUCUUUGAAAAAGCCAACCACAGAGCAUGAGCCGGUAAUGAAAUUUAAAUCAGCUGAUGAGACUAAACUUGUUGACUUUGUUCCAGGUGACUCAUCUCGGCAGUUCAGCAUCAGUGCCAAUCUGGAUCCGAAAUAGGAAGGCGCGCUCAUCGAGUUCAUCCAUGAGAACAGGGACAUAUUUGCAUGGAAACCUUCUGACAUGCCGGGUGUACCUAGAGAACUCGCUGAGCACACUCUCAAUAUUGAUCCGAAAUUUAAGCCGGUUAGGCAAUUCCUCCGACGGUUUAAUGAGGAGAGGCGGAAAGCCAUUGGUGAGGAGGUGGCCCGGCUCUUGGCGGCCGGGUUUAUUGUUGAAGUUUUUCAUCCAGAAUGGUUAGCUAACCCGGUGCUCGUGCUCAAGAAGAACGGCACCUGGCGGAUGUGUGUGGACUACACGGAUUUAAACAAGGCUUGUCCGGCUGAUCCUUUUGCUCUCCCCCAUAUUGAUCAAAUUAUUGAUGCUACGGCGGGUUGUGAGCUCUUCAGUUUUUUGGAUGCUUAUUCUGGAUACCAUCAGAUUAAAAUGGCAGUUAAGGACCAGGAGAAGACGGCGUUCACCACUCCCUUUGGAACCUUCUGUUAUCUGUCUAUGCCUUUUGGACUCAAGAGUGCACAGGCAACUUACCAGCAUUGUGUGCAGAAUUGUCUUCAUAACCAGAUUGGGCGCAACGUUCAUGCCUAUGUGGAUGAUAUCGUAGUUAAAUCCAGGGAGAAGGAGACCUUGGUAGAUGAUCUUAGAGAAACCUUUGAUAAUCUCUGGGUUUACAAGAUGAUGCUUAACCCGGCCAAGUGUGUUUUUGGUGUUCUUGGAGGCAAGCUCUUGGGUUUUCUGGUUUCUCACAGAGGCAUUGAAGCUAACCCGGAAAAGAUCAAAGCAAUCACCUCUCUGGCUAAGCCGGCGUGCAUAAACGACGUCCAGCGUCUGGCGGGUCGCAUCGCCGCUUUGAGUCGGUUUAUAAGCCGUUUGGGUGAAAAGGCCAUGCCACUAUACCAGAUGAUGAAGAAAACAGAUGACUUUAUCUGGAAUGAUGCUGCUAAUGCUGCUUUUGAGGAUUUGAAGAGACAGCUGGCUGAACCCCUAGUCCUUGCUGCUCCCGUUGACAAGGAGCCCUUAUUGCUAUAUGUGGCCGCUAACACACGAGCCGUCAGUGUGGCUGUGGUGGUGGAGCGUAAGGAAGCGGGUAAGGAGUAUCCGGUUCAGCGGCCGGUUUACUACGUCAGCGAAGUACUCAUUGAGUCCAAACAGCGGUAUCCACACUGGCAGAAACUUGUUUAUGGUGUGUUCAUGGCAAGCCGGAAGCUUAAGCAUUAUUUCCAGGGUCACCCUAUCACUGUGGUUAGUUCUGCUCCCCUAGGAGAUAUCAUUCAAAACAGAGAAGCCACAGGAAGAGUUGCUAAGUGGGCUAUAGAACUUGGGCCUCAUGGUCUAAAAUACAUGCCGCGCACUGCUAUCAAAUCUCAAGCAUUGGUGGAUUUCAUCAACGAUUGGACAGAGCUGCAGGUGCCUGAAGAGAAACCGGACAAUACAUACUGGACUAAUCACUUCGACGGGUCUAGACAAUUAGAGGGCUCGGGGGCUGGAGUUGUAUUAACUUCCCCUCGAGGUGACAAGUUUUGCUAUGUGCUACGGUUGAUGUUUCCCUGUACUAACAACGCGGCUGAGUACGAGGCCUUGCUCCAUGGUCUUCGGAUGGCUAAGGAGAUGAGCUUGAGCCGGGUAAGGUGCUUUGGCGACUCAUAUUUAGUGGCCCAACAAGUGUCAGGCAAGUGGGAUUCCAAGGACCCUCUCAUGGCGGCUUAUCGCCGCGAAGUUGAUGCCAUUGCUGGACAUUUUCAGGGUUACCAAGUAGAGCACAUCGAUCGCAGGAAGAACAAGGCGGCUGAUGCAUUAAGCUGGCUGGGCUCUCAGCGAAAGCCGGUGCCGCCUAAUACUUUCUUGGACAUUUUGCAUAACCCUUCUAUUAAGUUGCCUACAGAGGGAGACUUGGUUGUUCCUGACCCGGAGGCACAGUUGGUGGCGGCUCUCCACAUUACCCCAGACUGGACAGUACCAUACUUGGCUUACAUGACCCGGGGAGAAUUGCCUGAGGAUGAAACUUUGGCCAGACAAAUAACCCGGCGGUCUAAGUCAAUGAUAAUUACCAAUGGCGAGCUGCAUCAUCGCAGUGUCACUGGAACUUUCCAGCGUUGUGUUUCCCCUGAGGAAGGUCAAGAAAUUUUACGUGAGAUUCACGAGGGGGAUUGUGGCCAUCAUGCCGGCUCAAAAUCCCUUGUGGCCAAGGCUUUUCGUCAUGGUUUUUAUUGGCUGACGGCUCAUGCUGAUGCAGAGGACUUCGUCAGUAAAUGUGACGGUUGUCAGAGGUUCUCGCGACGGGCUCAUGUGCCGGCUCAAGAGUUGAGGAGGAUUCCAAUUACUUGGCCAUUUGCAGUCUGGGGGCUUGAUAUGGUUGGGCCUUUUAAAAGAUGCAAGGAUAAGAAGACCCACCUCUUGGUGGCGGUUGACAAGUUCACAAAGUGGGUUGAAGCAGAGCCAGUUAGUAAGUGUGACGCAGCCACAGCGGUUCAGUUCAUGAAGAGGGUGAUAUUUCGCUUUGGUUUUCCACACAGCAUUAUAACUGACAAUGGUACCAAUCUGUCUAAAGGCGCUAUGGAGGAGUUUUGUCAACGAGAGCAUAUUCGGCUUGAUGUUUCAUCAGUGGCUCACCCUCAAUCCAAUGGUCAAGCUGAGAGAGCCAAUCAGGAAAUCUUGAAGGGCAUCAAGCCCCGGCUUUUGGUACCUUUGCAACGGACGCCGGGUUGUUGGGUGGAGGAGUUACCCUCCGUGUUAUGGAGCAUCAAUACUACUCCUAACAGGUCUACGGGUUACACGCCUUUCUUCAUGGUUUAUGGAGCGGAGGCGGUCCUCCCUAGCGACAUCCGUCAUGACUCGCCUCGAGUGGCGGCUUGUGUUGAGGCGGAUAAUGAGCGGGCGCGUCAAGAUGCUCUUGACUUGUUGGACGAACAGUGUGAUGUGGCAGCAGCUCGCUCGGCGAUUUACCAACAAGACCUGCGCCGCUAUCACAGCCGCCGGGUUAAGUCCAGGGUCUUCCAGGAAGGUGAUCUGGUGCUCUGGCUCAUCCAAGAUCAAACAGAUGCACACAAGUUAUCCCCGCCUUGGGAAGGGCCCUUUGUGGUUAGCAAGAACUUGUACAACGGGUCAUACUACCUUAUCGAUGUUCGGGAGCACAAAGAUUCACAUAAGUCGGAGGAAGAGACCUGUCGGCCGUGGAACAUAGCUCAGCUUCGGCCUUACUACACUUGAGGCACCGGCUCUCAUAAUGUACAUAUUUCUAUAGUCAUGUAUAUAUUAUGAUAAGUAAUAAAGCAGGACCUCUGUCGUUUUCUCCUCCAAAGGUAAAUGUGUUAUUUCCAUUACAACAUUACAUGGUCACUUGGAGGUGGAUCCAGCUUACGAUCGUAUUCGAAUUUAGCCGUUAACAAUAUGAUCACUUGGGGGCUUCCUGUUCAAACAUAGGUCGUAUUCGAACCAAAGAGAACAUAGCUGUCGAUACCCACUUGAUUGGCAAAUUGCCGAGCUCAUUGGGGAGUUUUUCUUGAUCAUAUUUGAAUCAUAGCUCAACCCCCUUUGGGAACCGACGUGGAUCAUAUUCGAAUCAACGUCGUUAAACAACUCUUAAGGUCAUUUGGGGGCUUCCUGUUCAAACAUGGGUCGUAUCCGAACCUAAGAGAACAUAGCUGUCGGUACCCUCUUGAUAGGCAACGCCAAAGCCACUGGGGGCUUUAUGAUCGCAUUCGAAUCUUAGCUUAACCCCUUUGGGACGGUUCUCUGGUCGUAUUCGAACCAGAAGCCCCUAAGUUUUUUGGUUUGCAACAAGUUCUUUUGAUCAUAUCAAUGGUGUGCAAGGGCGGUUCUUACUCCGCCGGCUUUACUUUGAUUAACAAUGUUGAUAGCACACAAUAAGCAUUAUCGAUGCUGGUGAACCGGAGUUGAGUUCUCAACCUCAUUAUUUGGGUUACAUAAACCGGAAGUGUACUUGAAGGCUUGCAGGUAUGCUAUUAUGGUUACCUCGAAGAUAUAAUUGAGAGCCGAUCUUUUAUGACUUUGGUUAAUAUUCCGGGCUCUAUGUAAAAUAUAUGACUCUCAGUGCGGAAAGCCGCCUAGAGACUUGUGAUUUGUUUUCUAUGCAGGACAAUGAAAGACAGUUCUUUAAACUUAAGGAAAGUAAAUGAUCAAACAUAACCCGGAGGAAUAUAAAAGAGCAGCUUCAACGGAGUUAAGCACUCCACACGUGCACGAUGGCACGACAAAAUUAAGUGUUUGUCCUACUCUAUUACAGGACUCCCCGAGUCCAAAAGGUGAGGCAUUGUUUUUAAGGCGUAACCACGAGCCGCCUAGGAAAUCAAGGUGCUUGUUGGGUUGAAGCCCCCGGCUCAUCCCUCUCCGCUCCUCCGGCUGUUUCCAUGACCUGGAAGGUUGAUGAUUUCCAGUCAAUGCCGCUCAAAGCUUCAAAUUGAGCCUCAUCAUCAAUUAACCCGGCCGGGUCAACUUCUGGGGCGAAGGUAUGCUUACGAAUCGGAGGGAUCAGGCUGACUACUUCAUAGCGUGGAGUUGGGAUCCUCUGAUUCUCCACAUCAUAGCCCGGCUGAUACUUGGUAAGGUCUGUGUCAUUUCCAAUCAAGGUGGCCACCGGGCGCACGCUCUUCACACAGGCGGCGAAGUCUUUCUGGUCAAAGGGGGUGCCGUCUUCCUUCAGGCUGGGGUAUCCAAGAGCGAUGUCGGCCGGGUCUAGCUCCGAUAGAAAUGCCUUGGCCCGGCUCAGAGCAGCUAUGGCUCCGGCUCUUGCAGAAGCCCGUCUCAGCUCUUGGAAUCGCUGAGGAAGUACGGCAAGCCGCCUGAGUACAUCUGCCAGGUGAGUGGGAACAUCAUUGGAUAGAGCCACAACGGCUAAAGCACGUUGUGACCCGGUGUAAAGUUGCUCCACCAAAGUGUAAACCGCCUUCAGCUUGGUCAGCACGUUCUGGUUGAGGUUGGAACUCCUGGGACCUGUAUUACAAAGUCAGGUGAGCUGAUGGCAAUGGUGGGACUUAUCAGACGUAAAUGAUGUAAACUUGUUAGAAGCUUACAGAGUAACUUACCGAAGAUUGCGGCGACCAUCUGCGAUACAUGGCGUUUUAAGCCGGAGAGUUCGGCGGUUCUUUCAAUAAGAGCAGCCUCCGCUUGUUCAGCCCGGCUGAGCAAGGCAGUCUUCUCAUCGGCCCAGGCUUUUCUCUCUGUUUCAAAUUUUUUCUUCAGUUUUUCUUGUGCAGAGACGCUGAACUCAAAUUUGGCAUUGGCCUUCUGGGUCUCAUUUUCCUGAGUUUUCAGGCGGGUCUUCAGAUCAGAGAUUUCCAACUCAAGUUUCUUGCAGGCAGCCUGUACAAGUUCCGGGUUACAGGUUGAGUGAUUAUCAUGCAAUAUUAAAGUCCCAAGCACUUUGCAAGCAAAGACACUUGGCACUUGGGGGCUAAUGUAGGCUGAGAAGCUUUAUUUACAGUGCCGGUUCAUGAAAAUAAGUCCCAAGCACUCUGCAGGCAAAGGUGCUUGGCACUUGGGGGCUAAUGGGCAAAGUUGCUCAAUUACUUGAUUAAAACAUAAGGUAAAAGACCGGUUCACCUAGGCUGUUUAACCCGGCCCUUGAGUGUUACCAGGUAAGCCGGUAUUAAGUCUACAACAUAUUCUGUCAUAAGUAAUAGACUUGGGGGCUAGUAUGGUAAGGAUGACUAUGGAGUAAACAAGGGAAUUAUACCUCAGAUUUUUGCUGUAUCUGCUUCACCAUGUCAAUUUCCAGGUCCCGGCUGUUGUGCACUUGACCAAUAUAACCAGCAACAAUAUCUCCAAUGCUCAAGUUAGCAUAGUCAGUGAUAUCCAGAUUGGCCCUGCGGCGCUCCAGCAGUUCUUCUUUAGCAGAGCAUCUAGCCAGCACAGUAGGUCUUCCCGGCUCAACAUAUUCGGUCCGGGUAAUCACCACAUCCGGGUCGUCGGCCGGUUGAGCUGGGCUGGGAAUCUCCGGGUUGUCAGAAACCCCCAUGGUUUGUUCUUCAGUUGGAGCGGUGGUUUCUGGAGCUGGUGCAGACGGCGGCUCAGAGGCAGAGGCGUUGGGUUCAGUCAAGACCGGCUCUUCGACCGGGUUACUUUUCUUUGCCCUCUUGCUGAGCUUUGCUUGUGCACUGCAAGUCAAAAGGUUAGUGCAAAAACAUGAGUAGGAUAAGCACAAAAUAAGCUGAUCAUCAUUACCCGGGUGCGGUCUUGAAAGCCAACAAGUUAGAUUGUAUGGAGUCACCAGAAGAAGGUGAAGUUUCCUGAUAGUUUGAAUCAGACGAAUUAAGUGGUUGACGAGUGACGCCCGCUAAAGGAUGAAAAGGAUAUAAGUUGGAGAUAACCUCGGUCCGGCUCUUCCUUGAUGCUUCAGGUAAGCCGGAGGAGAGGUCUGCAUCCUUGUUGGUCCGGGUGUGUCUCCGACUCUCAUGAAUCUGUCGCUUCAAAAGAAAUUGAGAAUCUUGAUAAGCUAAAGGAUGUGAAAAUCUUACUUUCCGGGUUACUCUUAGGACUUUCAGCCUUGGCAAGGGCUCCGAGUCGGAGGAAAGUAUAGUUACGUCUUCAGUCACCGGGUUACUGGCUCUGGUGUCCUCCUGCUGAUAAUCAGUGUCAAUAAGGUGGUUAAGAACAAACAAAAACAAAGAAGAGCAUAAGAAUCAAGGGCUACCUCUGACUCGGAGGUGUCAUCCAGCUGAAGCAGCUCUGAGGCGCUAGGCUUACUCCCCUUCUUGCGGGGAGCGGCUCUCCUGGCGGCUUUUUUAGCCUUCCUGGCUUUUUUAGCAGCCUCAUGGUCAUACCUGACCUUCCAGAACUUAUCAUUAGCCUAAAAAAUACAACAAAGGUUUCUUGAAGUUAAGACGAAAAUUGUUAAAAUGGAAAGUAAAGUGCUCAGAUCAGUAGCUUACCGCCGGAGCCGGGUUAGCUUUGCAGAAGGGACUUAAGCCGGUCCUCCCGCAAUCUGCUAAGCUCUCGUUCAGAAGGGACUUGGUCAUGCCAUCAAUGACGUCUUCAGGUAAGUCGUUGGGGCUGUGCCGAAGAGGAUCAUCCUUCCGGCCCGUGUAAUCACACAUUAAGCCGGGGCGGCGGCUUAGAGGAAUCACCCGCCAAGCAAUCCAGACCCGGACCAGAUCAACGCCGUUAAGGCCGUUUCCCAGAAGAGCUUUGAUUUUGUUGAUGGUGGGGAUAAGUGGUUGACGCUCAGCUUGAGAUAAUUUGUCUCGCAGGGGGUGGUUUGACUCCAGACGCAGGGCGCGAAAGCCGGGCAGAGGGUUCUCAUCAGCCGGAGAAGUAUCCUGGCAGUAAAACCAUGUCUGAUUCUAGUCCUUUGGGUGGCUUGGCGGCUCAGCAUAAGGAAAGAGACAAUCCCUCCGUCGUUGAAUUGAUAUUCCACCAAGUUCCAAGCUAGGCCCGUUGGCGCAUUCAUUCUGGCGGUUCAGGUAAAAUAAUUCCCUAAAGAGUAGCAGGUUGGGUUCCUCUCCAAGGUAUACCUCACAGAACACUUGAAAAUUACAAAUGUUCGACACGGAAUUGGGUCCAAUGUCUUGAGGUCGCAGAUCGAAAAAGUUCAGAACAUCUCUGAAGAAUUUUGAGCCAGGAGGAGCAAAGCCCCGGCUCAUGUGGUCGGCAAAUACAACAACCUCUCCGUCUUUUGUUUGAGGUCUCUCUUCGGACGGGUCAGGCGCACGGUAGGACAUGACCUCCUUUUUGGGCAGGUAACCAGUUUUUACGAAGUCAUCUCAGGUGCUUUCAGUAACGUUGGACCUCACCCAGUUGCACGUAAUGGGUGCCUUGGGAGCCUUGGGCGGCAUUGUGGAAAAUGGAAGCCUAUGACAAAGGAAAAUUUCCGGUUCAAAUUUAAGCCAGAGAAAAUUUUUAGUUCAGUAUUCAGGACGGCGGUUCAUGAAGGGGCCUAAUAAUAUAUGACUAAUUGUGUCAGGUUAAUUAAGCCGCCGUGGGUAUUAUGAGCAAUUUAAGUUAUUUAACUCUAUUAUGAGUAAGCCGGAAAUUUCACAAAGCAUGGCUUCUUUUAAGCCGGCGAUAUGAGCCGCUAUGGCUGACAGACGCAGUUUUUGUCUAAGAGUUGCAUAAACAAGUUUCACAGAUCACAGGGAUUAUUUUGGAUCAAAUGAUCGUCCAGAAAGGAAAAAUUUCUAGACCUAAAAAGCUGAUACAGAGAAGUUCAUAAGCUCUAAACGAGAUCUGUUUGCGGGCAAGAGGGAUCUGCUAGCAUAAGAAUGGGUGAGAAACUACUACCGCAGGAAUUUUGUACCAUUUUCGGAUCAAAAGGAGCCGUGGUGGAGGAACUGUGAAGAACUUGAGAUGAAACUACGAAGAACAGGGGAGAACGACAGAACCCUAAUGCGAAUCUACUGUAUGGAAUGGCAAGGACUUACUGGCGCUAAUGAGCCGUGGAGGUCGCCGUCGUUUCUCUGGACCAGUUCAGGGUGAUGCAGCGGCCGAGGUUGAGGAAGACGAGGUGCGCGGCGGCGGCGGCGGAGCUCGGGCUCUGGAGCGUCAGAGGAGGAAGACGAUGCAGGAGAAGAGUGACGAAGGCUUAUGGGCCGGGCCUAUUUAUAAGGGCCGGCUGGUAAAUAGGCGCGGGAAAAGAGGAGGCGGAAGACAUGAUUAUCUUGCCGCAGAAACGCCUCGAUUUUCGGUAUGGUCUUUAAAGAUAAGAUCCGUUGAGAUAUGACAGAAUAAAAAAUGAAUUUAAUGGAAGAUGACGUCAUGGCGGGUUACCAAGAAUUCAGAAGAUGACGUCACGGCGGGUUAUAACCUUUGCACAAGCGGAAGCCGGAAGAUUUUGAAGAUUUUUGAAGAUUGACAUGAACCGGUUCAAAUCAACCUGGGGCCUAAUGUUGAGGAUAUAACCAUUAGAGUCACCCGCCCAGGAGGGGCCGGGUUACGUCAUAAUGAUCAUCACGUGAAGCCCAGUACCAAGCUUGAGGAUGGCGGAUCAAUAAUGGGCUUAAGACCCGGAGGCGGCUUAAGGCCCGUAGUGAUAACCCGCCGCUAUGGCAAGACUUGUAAUGUAAGGCAAGAGUAGUUAAGAGUCCGAGCCGGAUACUGUUAUGAGCCGGCCGGGACUCUGAGAGCCACGGGGCGUCAACCUCUCUAUAUAAAGGGAUGACCUGGCGGCAGUUCAGGACGAGAGACAACAGAUCGAGAGCCAGGCAUAGCGAUUAGCUCCCUGGUCAUCGAAACCCUAAGUAAUACCACCUCAACUGGACGUAGGCUUUUACCUUCACCGUAAGGGGCCGAACCAGUAUAAUCCUCAUGUUCCUUGUCCCGCUUAACCCCUUUAAGCUUCCUAGCUGCGAUGGCUCCACGACUAAGUCCUUGCACGAGGACAUCUGCCGUGACAAUUCCACGACAGUUUCCAUUAUUUUAUUUAAUCUUUCUUGUGAUCUAUAUGAUCUAAGAAGUAAUAAUUCACUGCUUAUGUAAACACCUCGGUGUACUACUCUAUCAAUAAGACCCUGUUACUAUUGUUGAUAACAUUCCGAUAGCCACCGAUGGACGAGAACCUUGCCUAUUGGUCUGCCUCGUUCAACGAGCAGGAAAAUGGUUCUCUUCGUCCCUCGCCCUUGGUACCAACGUUGUUGCCAACAUAGCUGGCAGGCUACCCUCUAACAUGCCUUGCUAUCAUGACCGUGCAACAUGUCAGCCCCCUUCCUAAUUUUAACCCACAUUGUGGGCCCAUAACCCACAGUUCCACAGGAUCGAAACCUGACUCUCCUGUACAUCCCUGUUCGAAGUUAUCCCUUGCGCUUCGUUUCGUAUGUAAUUUGCGAGCCACCUUCCUAGUGAUCAAUUCUGGUAUCAGACACAAUACUUAUUCCCGUUGCUCUGAACCCCUUUCACACUCUGUUUCAGGCAAUGAACGAUUGCCUAUCCGCUCGAAACUUCUUAUUGCACUGUCCUACUUUGCUCUCAAUGUGUUUCAUUUGUUCAACUCGAGAGAUACUCAUAUGUUCAUUCGUGGGAUAACCCCCGGUGAUUACCCCUGGUAGCGUUCUAUCGUUGUCAAGCUGCCCCUUUCCUAUUCGUAAGUACGAUGGAGAUCCUUAAGAAAGGAUGUCGGCUUCAUCAUGAUGACCUGAAGCAGAGAAGUGAAGACAUCAACAUAGUGGAUAGACCUCUUCGAGAAGCUCUACCAAGACGAGAAGAUCCGUUAGAAUAUCGUAACCAGACCUUUCCCCCUUACUCCCCUUCUUAAAAUCUCGGGACGAGAUUUCUUGUAGUGGAGGAGAAUUGUGACGCCCGGAUAAUUAAGCUACAGUAACUCUCUGCUAAUGGUGCCACGUCACCACGGUUACUGUUGCUAAUCUCGCGUUAGUUCGAAACCGAUUCAAAUUCAAAUUCAAAAUCAAAUCAAACGGUAAAAGUUUUCAAACUUUAAAACUAAAAUGUUUGGGUUGUGCCAGAUAAUGCAUAGGUGAUUAUGGUGGUGAAACCAAACUUUUAUGAAAUGCUUAACUGCACUAAAAUAAUUUAAAUAGUAGCAAACCUAAUUAUUUAAAUGCCUUUACUAAUUAAUAAAGUAUCAAACUAAAUUAUUUGGGGACUAGACUUUUUGUGACAGUGGACUAAACUGAAAUACUAAAUUAGAUGCCAAGUAUAUAUUUUACAAAAAAUAAAACAAUAGGAAACAAAGAUAAAAUAGAAUAAAAUAAAGAAAAUAAAACAAAACAAGAAAUAAUAAUAAAAGAAAGGCCGAAACCCCCCUCUCCCUGGGCCUCUCGGACCAACCGGCAGCCAGCCGGCCCACCCCAUUGCCCCUGGCCUAUAUGGCCUAUUUCCCCACACCCGACCGAAACCCUAACUGCUACCCCCACUCCCCUCGAUCCCCCACUCCCCUUGCUCCCCUCCCCCGUCUGGAUCGGGGCAACCGCACCCCCGACCCCGUCAACGCCGAUGCCGCGCGCCACCUCGCCGGCGCCCCGGUGACCACUGCCGUCACCGGACCUUCCGUGCCUCUCCCUUGCGGGAUCGGCCCGCUCGUCGCGCCGCCCGCGUCGCCCAUCGCCCCUGGACAACGCCGCCACAACCAUGACGUCGUCGACCGCCGGAGCACCACCAGCCACAUCGCCGGAGCUGUCCCGUCGUCCUCUCCGUCGCCGGUGCCGCCUCGCCGGACCUCCCUGACUCCUCCUCGAGCCCGCUUUGCUAGACUACAGGGCUCGGUGAGCCCCGUCCUCCCCUCCUCCUCUUUCCUUGUUCGGUCACCGCGGCAAGUACCGCCACCCGCGCGCCCACGCGCCGGCCUCGCUGGCCUCACCUACUGUUGCCGCCCAUGCCGCUCGCCCGCUGUCGCCGCCCGCGUUCUGCCUCGGCUCCUCGUCGCCCGCUAGGGUCCGGUCGCGCUUGCCCCCUGCUAGCCAUACCCUUUGCCCGCGAGCGCCCGUUGACGCUGGCGCAUGCCCGUCGCUUGCCCCACCUUCCCCUGCACGCGCCCGCCUCGCCGCAUAGCCGCGCCGCGGCCUGNNNNNNNNNNNNNNNNNNNNNNNNNNNNNNNNNNNNNNNNNNNNNNNNNNNNNNNNNNNNNNNNNNNNNNNNNNNNNNNNNNNNNNNNNNNNNNNNNNNNNNNNNNNNNNNNNNNNNNNNNNNNNNNNNNNNNNNNNNNNNNNNNNNNNNNNNNNNNNNNNNNNNNNNNNNNNNNNNNNNNNNNNNNNNNNNNNNNNNNNNNNNNNNNNNNNNNNNNNNNNNNNNNNNNNNNNNNNNNNNNNNNNNNNNNNNNNNNNNNNNNNNNNNGCGGCCUGGCCAAGUGCCAGCGCCCCGCGCAUGACCGCGCCCCUGCUCCCCUUGUCCCGCUCCGCCGCGGCCUCCCGCUGCCGCAUGCCGCCCGGUUAGCGCUGAUGUGCCGCUCCCCACGCGAGGCCCGCACCUUCCCUGGCCGACGCCGUGGCCACCGGCCUCCCCCUGCUCCGGCGCCGCGCCGGAUUUGCCCGCCCCUGGGCGUGCACCCAUUCGGGCUGGCGCCCGUCGCCUGCACGCCCGACCCGCUAGGCCUAUGGGCUUUUGACAUGUGGGGCCCAUGCCCAGAACGUUUUAAAUAAAAAAGAAUUAAAAUAAUAAUAAAUAAAUAAAAUAUCAAUUAAUUUACUUAAUUAACUUAAUUAAUUCUGUUUAAAUUAACUAAUUAAGAUUAAUUAACCUAAUAAUUAGUUAACCUAAUUAACUACUAUUAAUUAGCUAAGCAGUCCCUAACAGGUGGGACCCACCUGUCAGGUUGACCAGGUCAACAUUCAACGUUGACUGCUGACGUCAUGCUGACAUCAUGCUGGCGUCGUAAUUGCCUUUUUCUAAUUAAAUUAAUUCUGUUAAUUCUAGAAAAAGAUAGAAUCAUUUUUAAAUUAAUAUAAAAUGAACCGUAGUUUGGAUGGAAAAACUUUGUACAUGAAAGUUGCUCAGAACGACGAGACGAAUCCGGAUACGCAGCCCGUUCGUCCGCCACACAUCCCUAGCAUAGCAAACACGCAAAUUUCCCCCUCCGGUUCACCUGUCCGAAAACGCAAAACACCGGGGAUACUUUCCCGGAUGUUUCCCCCCUUCGCCGGUAUCGCCUCCUACCGCGUUAGGGCACGCCUAGCACUGUUUGUUGUCUUGUCAUGCAUCGCUAUGCAUCUGUUUGCAUUGUAUUCAUUGUUUCUUCCCCCCUCUUCUCUCCGUUAGACUACGAGACUGACGCCGCUGCUGGUGCCCCGAUCGACUACGUUGUUGACGAACCCUACUUGCCAGAGCAACCAGGAAAGCCCCCCCCUUGAUCACCAAAUAUCACCUAUUCCUUCUCUCUACUGCUUGCAUUAGAGUAGUGUAGCAUGUUACUGCUUUCAGUUAAUCCUAUUCUGCUGCAUAGCCUGUCAUUGUUGCUACAAUUGUUGAUACCUUUACCUGCUAUCCUAAUGCUUAGUAUAGGAUGCUAGUGUUCCAUCAGUGGUCCUACACUCUUGUCCGUCUGCCAUGCUAUACUACUGGGCCGUGAUCACUUCGGGAGGUGAUCACGGGCAUAUACUAUAUACUUUAUACUGUUACAUUACUUAUGAUACUAUUCGGAGAUGGGGGCUGAAGGGGCAGGUGGCUCCAUCCCGGUAGAGGUGGGCCUGGGUUCCCGAUGGCCCUCGACUGAUACUUUGUGGCGGAGCGACAGGGCAGGUUGAGACCACCUAGGAGAGAGGUGGGCCUGGCCCUGGUCGGCGUCCGCGGUACUUCAAAAUAACACGCUUAACGAGUUCUUGGUAUUUGAUCUGAGUCUGGCCAUUUGGUCUAUACGCACUACGCGGGAACGGUUAUGGGCACUCGGCGUCGUGGUAUCAGUCGAAGCCUUCGUGACGUCAGCGACUGAGCGGCGCGCGCCGGAUUGGACUGGAACGCCUGCUAGGCUAGGUCUGCUUUCGGCCGCGUUCGCAACGUGCAGGUGUGCAAUGGGCGAUGGGCCCAGACCCCUGCGCCAUAGGAUUUAGACUGGUGUGCUGACCUCUUUGUUGUGCCUAGGUGGGGCUGCGACGUGUUGAUCUUCCGCGGCCGGGCCUGACCCAGAAAAGUGUGUCCGGCCAAAUGGGAUCGAGCGUGUUGGGUUAUGUGGUGCACCCCUACAGGGAAGUUUAUCUAUUCGAAUAGCCGUGAUCUUCGGUAACAGGACGACUUGGAGUUGUACCUUGACCUUAUGACAACUAGAACCAGAUACUUAAUAAAACACACCCUUCCAAGUGCCGGAUACAACCCGGUGAUCGCUCUCUAACGGGGCGACGAGGAGGGGAUCGCCGGGUAGGAUUAUGCUAUGCGAUGCUACUUGGUGAACUUACCAUAUACUCUCUCCUACAUGCUGCAAGAUGGAGGUGGCCAGAAGCGUAGUCUUCGACAGGAUUAGCUAUCCCCCUUUUAUUCUGGCAUUCUACAGUUCAGUCCACCGAUAUGGCCCUUUACACAUAUACUCAUGCAUAUGUAGUGUAGAUCCUUGCUUGCGAGUACUUUGGAUGAGUACUCACGGUUGCUUUUCUCCCUCUUUUCCCCCUUUCCAUUCUACCUGGUUGUCGCAACCAGAUGCUUGAGCCCAGGAGCCAGACGCCACCGUCGACGACGACUCUUACUACACCGGAGGUGCCUACUACUACGUGCAGGCCGCUGACGACGACCAGGAGUAGUUUAGGAGGAUCCCAGGCAGGAGGCCUGUGCCUCUUUCGAUCUGUAUCCCAGUUUGUGCUAGCCUUCUUAAGGCAAACUUGUUUAACUUAUGUCUGUACUCAGAUAUUGUUGCUUCCGCUGACUCGUCUAUGAUCGAGCAAUUGUAUUCGAGCCCUCGAGGCCCCUGACUUGUAUUAUGAUGCUUGUAUGACUUAUUUUAUUUUUAGAGUUGUGUUGUGAUAUCUUCCCGUGAGUCCCUGAUAUUGAUCGUACACGUUUGUGUGUAUGAUUAGUGUACGAUUGUUAUGAGUAAUUAGAUAGAUUGUCCUGCAUUAAGAUGUGUUACAAGCCAAUAAAACACAAAACAGCACAUGAAGUCACCUAUCGUGCGAGAGAGAAGCAUUAAUAUAUGUAGCAUAAGCAUAAAAACCAUAUAUUGUUAUGAGUAGUCUGAUGUUUCCGCACGUUAAUAAUAUACAAUUUGUUGGCACAAUGAUAGUGCAUCUAGUAAGUUCACACUGAUCAUAAUAAAGCUUCCUAGGAUACGCAUAACAAUGAUAUACACAUGUCAGUGAAACAUAUCAGACCACAAGAUGAUGCCCUAACCUAUUUACUAGGAUUUUGUAUGGCCGCAUGUGUACUUCGCUAAUAAAGCACAAUCAUGUAUAAUCUAAACCUAAUCUAGUCCAUUCGAAUCGAAUUGAAUCUACCUUGAUGGUUGUAUGAGGAGUCCGUCCAAUCUAAUAUAAAUAUUAGCAAGACCCGCAAGCCCAAUCUAGAUCCGAGUGCCAGAAGGGGAACAUGAAAAAAAGUAGAUCUGGAAAAAGGAAAUGGUCGAAUCAAAGGAUAUAAUACCUGGAUGAGGUCGAAGAGGGUGGCAUGGUUAACCUUGAUGAAUUUUGCGUCCCAGAUCUUGAGGUCUUCGGCCAGGGCGGCGGGAG